rnacentral:rRNA from 1 species
GGCAAAAGCUCAAAUUUGAAAUCUGGUACCUUCGGUGCCCGAGUUGUAAUUUGGAGAGGGCAACUUUGGGGCCGUUCCUUGUCUAUGUUCCUUGGAACAGGACGUCAUAGAGGGUGAGAAUCCCGUGUGGCGAGGAGUGCGGUUCUUUGUAAAGUGCCUUCGAAGAGUCGAGUUGUUUGGGAAUGCAGCUCUAAGUGGGUGGUAAAUUCCAUCUAAAGCUAAAUAUUGGCGAGAGACCGAUAGCGAACAAGUACAGUGAUGGAAAGAUGAAAAGAACUUUGAAAAGAGAGUGAAAAAGUACGUGAAAUUGUUGAAAGGGAAGGGCAUUUGAUCAGACAUGGUGUUUUGUGCCCUCUGCUCCUUGUGGGUAGGGGAAUCUCGCAUUUCACUGGGCCAGCAUCAGUUUUGGUGGCAGGAUAAAUCCAUAGGAAUGUAGCUUGCCUCGGUAAGUAUUAUAGCCUGU